ACUUUAUUAUCAACUUUAGCUAAACUUACACAUGCAAGUAUCCGCACGCCCGUGAGAAUGCCCUUACAGUUUCCCGCCCGGAAACAAGGAGCUGGUAUCAGGCACACCCAUAUAAAGCCCACGACACCUUGCUAAGCCACACCCUCAAGGGAACUCAGCAGUGAUAAACCUUAAGCCAUAAGUGAAAACUUGACUUAGUUACAGCUAAAAGAGCCGGUAAAACUCGUGCCAGCCACCGCGGUUAUACGAGAGGCUCAAGUUGAUAAACCCCGGCGUAAAGAGUGGUUAAGGAAGAUUAAAAACUAAAGCCGAAUGCUUUCAAAGCUGUUAUACGCUUCCGAGAGUAAGAAGAUCAACUACGAAAGUGACUUUAUAGCCCCUGACCCCACGAAAGCUAUGGCACAAACUGGGAUUAGAUACCCCACUAUGCCUAGCCCUAAACAUUGGCAACACCCUACAUCUGUUGCCCGCCAGGAAACUACGAGCAUUAGCUUAAAACCCAAAGGACUUGGCGGUGCUUUAGAUCCACCUAGAGGAGCCUGUUCUAGAACCGAUAACCCCCGUUCAACCUCACCCUUCCUUGUUAGACCCGCCUAUAUACCACCGUCGUCAGC
rnacentral:rRNA from 1 species